rnacentral:rRNA from 1 species
UACGUAGGGUGCGAGCGUUAAUCGGAAUUACUGGGCGUAAAGCGUGCGCAGGCGGUGAGCUGUGUCCGAUGUGAAAGCCCCGGGCUUAACCUGGGAAUGGCAUUGGAAACUGGCUCGCUGGAGUGUGGCAGAGGGGGUGGAAUUCCGCGUGUAGCAGUGAAAUGCGUAGAGAUGCGGAGGAACACCGAUGGCGAAGGCAGCCUUCUGGGCCAACACUGACGCUCAUGCACGAAAGCGUGGGGAGCAAACAGG